AUCAUAUUAAAUGCCUUGAUAUAUGGCCAGGAUUUAGCAUAGAAUCAGGCACGUGUAUUAUGUCAAUAAAAUUGCAGUUGGCUCACACCCUUCCACUCUGAGACCUCUAGGGAGAAUGAAUGCAAAGGUAGUGGCAUUAGGUCCAUGCAGGAAGGGGGCCUUUGUCUCACACAGAUGGUGGGCCUCUGGUCAGCCUCGGGUGCGGCGUUUCAUCCACACUUUUCAAGGGCUGUGCAGGUCCCGUGUCUGAGUCUCCCCCAGACAGUGCUAACUUCUGCCGCCAGCAGUCGUGUCCACGAGCUACGUGACUCAGUGCCACCUGCUCGCCUCCAUCAUGUUUCUCACCUGACGCUCACCUGGACCCUUUCCUCCGUUGUCUGUGGGGUGGCUUGGGGUGGAGCGGGGCCUGCGCGGCCAGAGACUCAACUGUGCCCCCCUUCCCCGCGGGCUCCUCCCUCCAUUCCGGCUCCUUGGCUGGCCAUGGGGAGACUGGGGAGGCUUCUGUGUGGCCCAAAGCAUGUGUGUGUGUGUCACAGUGUGUGGGCGUCACCAUGUGUUGACAGUGCUGACGUCCAACCUGGGGCAAGUGGGUCUGUUCUCCCAGCUGAUGACUGUGCUAUGCUUCCUCAGGGUGAGCUGGUGAUUGGCGGGGUGUCAAACCAAACUUGACUCUGAGGAGGAAAUAGAAAAGGGAGGCCUGGGUGUGACUGCCGUGUAACCAAAGCAAAUACAGAUCUACACUUGAGCUCAUAGUGUUUUAUUGGGUGAUCACAUCAGCCCCACUACAGGUGAUCACACAGUGGCUCAGAGGACAUAAGUGACUCACCACAGCCGGUGAGUAGUGAAGCAGGACUCAGACGUGGACAUGUCUUUCCAAAUUUGAACUCUACCUGCCCUUUACCUAAUCUGCUUGUGGUUUGUACCAUGUUUCUUUUGGCUUAUGACAUCAUCAAGUGGGCCAUUUAAAGGAGAUUGAUCAUAAUGCAUGGGACAAAUUGGCCACCUCUCUUUCCUGUUAAAAUACCUCCAUGGUUGCCCGGUACCCGGGGCUGGGUCUAAGUCCCCCAACCUGGUAAGACAAGAUCUUCUAGACAGGGCUCCUUAUAAAUUCCCCAGCCUCCCUUGGUCAGUGCUCCAUUCGGAAUGUGUUCUCCAGCACCUCCAAGCAAUUAACUAAAUUCUGGCACUAUCUACCUGGAGACAGCACCAGAUCUCAAGGAUUAAGGACUCGACCCCGCAAGACUGCCCCGCUUCAGGUGCCCUCCUCAAGUCCAGGUUGUCAUCUGUGCUUCUGAGUGACCAGCUAUAAAUGAGAGGUUCCUGAGACCUCUUCCUUGGGUUAAAUUAUUUGCUAGGUAGGCUCACAGAACUCAGAUGUUUACUUACUUACAUUUACCAGUUUAUUAUAAAGAAUAUCGUAAAGGGUACAGAUAGCCGGAUAAAGUACGUAGGGUAAGGUACGUAGGAAGGGGUGACGAGCUGCCACUCUCCAAGCACCUCCACAUGUUUACCGACAUGCAAGGUCUCCCAACCCUGUGUCCCUUUCGGCUUUUAUGGAGGCUUCAUUACAUAGGUGUGAUUGAUCAAGUCAUUGCCAUUGGUGAUUGAACCCAAUCCCCAGCCCUUCUCCCCUUCCUGAAGUUGGUGGAGGGGCUAAAUUACAACCCUGCCAAAGAAGUUGUUGGUUCCCCUGGCAAAGGGGAACCAUCCUUAGGGGCUUUCCAAAAGUCACCUCAGUAAUGCAAACUCAGGUGUGGUUGGAAGGGGAUCAUUGUGAAUAAUAAAAGACAACCUUAUUGUGCUUAUCUUGUAGGAGAGUCUAAGGGUUUUAGAAGCUCUGUGUUAGAAAUAGGAUGAAGACCAAAUACCUGUUUCUUAUAUCACAAAAUCACACUCCAGAAAAAAUAAACCACUGAAAGUUGC